ACAACGAAGAGUUUGAUCCUGGCUCAGGAUAAACGCUAGCGACAGGCCUAACACAUGCAAGUCGAGGGGCAGCACAUGAGUAGCAAUACGAUGGUGGCGACCGGCGCACGGGUGAGUAACACGUAUGCAACCUACCCAUAAGAGGGGAAUAACCCGGAGAAAUUCGGACUAACACCGCAUAAUACUGAAUAUUCGCAUGGAUUUUCAGUUAAAUAUUAAUAGCUUAUGGAUGGGCAUGCGUAUGAUUAGAUAGUUGGUAGGGUAACGGCCUACCAAGUCAACGAUCAUUAGGGGUUCUGAGAGGAAGGUCCCCCACAUUGGAACUGAGACACGGUCCAAACUCCUACGGGAGGCAGCAGUGAGGAAUAUUGGUCAAUGGGCGAGAGCCUGAACCAGCCAUGUCGCGUGAAGGAAGAAUGUCCUAUGGAUUGUAAACUUCUUUUAUACAGGAAUAAAGUGUACUACGUGUAGUAUUUUGUAUGUACUGUAUGAAUAAGGAUCGGCUAACUCCGUGCCAGCAGCCGCGGUAAUACGGAGGAUCCGAGCGUUAUCCGGAUUUAUUGGGUUUAAAGGGUGCGUAGGCGGGCUGAUAAGUCAGUGGUGAAAGUUUGCAGCUUAACUGUAAAAUUGCCAUUGAAACUGUUAGUCUUGAGUACAGUAGAGGUAGGCGGAAUGUGUAGUGUAGCGGUGAAAUGCAUAGAUAUUACACAGAACACCAAUUGCGUAGGCAGCUUACUGGAGUGUCACUGACGCUGAGGCACGAUAGCGUGGGGAUCAAACAGGAUUAGAUACCCUGGUAGUCCACGCCGUAAACGAUGAUUACUAACUGUUUGCGAUAUAAUGUAAGUGGUACAGAGAAAUCGUUAAGUAAUCCACCUGGGGAGUACGCCGGCAACGGUGAAACUCAAAGGAAUUGACGGGGGCCCGCACAAGCGGAGGAACAUGUGGUUUAAUUCGAUGAUACGCGAGGAACCUUACCCGGGCUUGAAAUGCAGAGGAAUGAUUUGGAAACGAGUCAGUCAGCAAUGACCUCUGUGUAGGUGCUGCAUGGUUGUCGUCAGCUCGUGCCGUGAGGUGUCGGCUUAAGUGCCAUAACGAGCGCAACCCUUAUCAUUAGUUACUAACAGGUUAAGCUGAGGACUCUAGUGAGACUGCCGCCGUAAGGUGAGAGGAAGGUGGGGAUGACGUCAAAUCAGCACGGCCCUUACGUCCGGGGCGACACACGUGUUACAAUGGGGGGUACAGAGGGUUGCUACUUGGUGACAAGAUGCUAAUCUCUUAAAACCUCUCUCAGUUCGGAUUGGAGUCUGCAACUCGACUCCAUGAAGCUGGAUUCGCUAGUAAUCGCGCAUCAGCCAUGGCGCGGUGAAUACGUUCCCGGGCCUUGUACACACCGCCCGUCAAGCCAUGGAAGCUGGGGGUGCCUGAAGUCCGCUACCGCAAGGGGCGGCCUAGGGCAAAACUAGUAACUGGGGCUAAGUCGUAACAAGGUAGCCGUACCGGAAGGUGCGGCUGGAACACCUCCUUU
rnacentral:rRNA from 1 species